GGCUCGUUGGUCUAGCGGUAUGAUUCUCGCUUUGGGUGCGAGAGGUCCCGGGUUCAAUUCCCGGACGAGCCC
rnacentral:tRNA from 1 species